GGGUCAGUAAGUUGGUCGUGCCACCGGUACGUACUGGUCUCACUGAUUCCUCCUUCCUGAAGAACCGUAAUGCCAUUAAUUUGGUGUUGCGGGGAAACAGGACUGUUACUUUGAAAAAAUUAGAGUGUUUAAAGCAAGCUAAUGCUUGAAUACAUUAGCAUGGAAUAAUGAAAUAGGACGAUCGAUCCUAUUUUGUUGGUUUCUAGGAUUGACGUA
rnacentral:rRNA from 1 species